rnacentral:rRNA from 1 species
GAUGAACGCUGGCGGCGUGCCUAAUACAUGCAAGUCGAGCGAACAGACGAGGAGCUUGCUCCUCUGACGUUAGCGGCGGACGGGUGAGUAACACGUGGAUAACCUACCUAUAAGACUGGGAUAACUUCGGGAAACCGGAGCUAAUACCGGAUAAUAUAUUGAACCGCAUGGUUCAAUAGUGAAAGACGGUUUUGCUGUCACUUAUAGAUGGAUCCGCGCCGCAUUAGCUAGUUGGUAAGGUAACGGCUUACCAAGGCAACGAUGCGUAGCCGACCUGAGAGGGUGAUCGGCCACACUGGAACUGAGACACGGUCCAGACUCCUACGGGAGGCAGCAGUAGGGAAUAUUCCGCAAUGGGCGAAAGCUUGACGGAGCAACGCCGCGUGAGUGAUGAAGGUCUUCGGAUCGUAAAACUCUGUUAUUAGGGAAGAAAAAAUGUGUAAGUAACUAUGCACGUCUUGACGGUACCUAAUCAGAAAGCAACGGCUAACUACGUG